UCCUCUGGUGUAAAUGGUUAACACACUUGGCUGCUAACCGAAACGCUGGAGGUUCGAGUCCACCCAGAGGUG
rnacentral:tRNA from 1 species